CGUAGGGGGCAAACGUUGUCCGGAUUUACUGGGUGUAAAGGGUGCUCAGGCGGUUUUGUAAGUCAGAAGUGAAAUCCUAGGGCUUAACUCUGGAACUGCUUUUGAUACUGCAAGGCUUGAAUAUGGAAGAGGAGGGCGGAAUUUCUGGUGUAGCAGUGAAAUGCGUAGGUAUCAGAAAGAACACCAGUGGCGAAGGCGGCCCUCUGGUCCAUUAUUGACGCUAAAGCACGAAAGCGUGGGGAGCAAACAGGAUUAGAUACCCUGGUAGUCCACGCCUUAAACGAUGAAUACUAGACGUUGGGGUUAAACUCAGUGUCGCAGCUAACGCAUUAAGUAUUCCACCUGGGGAGUACGAUCGCAAGGUUG
rnacentral:rRNA from 1 species